GGAUCCACCUGGAGCUGAGCCGGAGCCUCUGGAGCCCGGAGGAUGAUUCCCAAAGGAUCCACCUGGAGCUGAGCCGGAGCCUCCGGAGCGACACCGAGGAUAAUUCCCAAAGGAUCCACCCGGAGUUGAACCGGAGCCUCUGGAGCCUGGAGGAGAAUUCCCAAAGGAUCCACCCGGAGCUGAGCCGGAGCCUCCGGAGCGACACCGAGGAGAAUUCCCAAAGGAUCCACCCAGAGCUGAACCGGAGCCUCCGGAGCCCAGAGGAUGAUUCCCAAAGGAUCCACCCGGAGCUGAGCCGGAGCCUCCGGAGCGACAGCGAGGACCCGGAGCACUAGGAUGGGAUGGGAUUGGAUGGGAUGGGAUCUGCUCGAGCAUUCCCUCUUUUCCAGCCCCGCAUUCCCACGGCUCCUCCUUCCCACCCGGAGCUGCCCCUCAUCCCGCUCCCGGCGCUUCCCAGAGGUUCUUCCCGACAAAUCCCAGGAUUUUGGGGCCUGGCUCCAUCCCAGCAGCUUCACCUCCCCCAGAGGAUCCCUGCGUGUCCAUAAGUCCGGAAUUCUCCCGGGAGAAUUCCGGGGCCGGGGGCACCCUGCUCUCCACGUGCAUCCCGGUGGGAAGAGGCGGAAUUCCCGCCGGGAUUCCACCAAAUCCCUCCAAUAAAGAGGCUUGAGCUGUG